ensembl:Mt_tRNA
AGGUGUAUAGUUUAACCAAAACAAAUGAUUUCGACUCAUUAGACUAUGAUAACUCAUAUACACCAA